rnacentral:rRNA from 1 species
GAUGAACGCUGGCGGCGUGCCUAAUACAUGCAAGUCGAGCGAACAGACGAGGAGCUUGCUCCUCUGACGUUAGCGGCGGACGGGUGAGUAACACGUGGAUAACCUACCUAUAAGACUGGGAUAACUUCGGGAAACCGGAGCUAAUCCCGGAUAAUAUAUUGAACCGCAUGGUUCAAUAGUGAAAGACGGUUUUGCUGUCACUUAUAGAUGGAUCCGCGCCGCAUUAGCUAGUUGGUAAGGUCACGGCUUACCAAGGCAACGAUGCGUAGCCGACCUGAGAGGGUGAUCGGCCACACUGGAACUGAGACACGGUCCAGACUCCUACGGGAGGCAGCAGUAGGGAAUCUUCCGCAAUGGGCGAAAGCUUGACGGAGCAACGCCGCGUGAGUGAUGAAGGUCUUCGGAUCGUAAAACUCUGUUAUUAGGGAAGAACAAAUGUGUAAGUAACUAUGCACGUCUUGACGGUACCUAAUCAGAAAGCCACGGCUAACUACGUG